UGAUCUCCUCCACCUCCUUCAGCGCCAGAAGCGCGUAGCCGACCGCGUGCUCGAAAAGCACGUGCAGCAGCACCUGAAAAGGGAGCCGGGAUACCAGAGCAGCAGAGCUUGGUGGGAUCCGGGCUGGAGGCCCCCGCUCUGAUCGCGGCCACACUUAAGAGCAGAAACUGUUGCGGAGCCGUCUCCACAGCGCUAGGCAUCUCAGGACCUAGGCCCCGCCCCACGCCCCCAGGAUUCCAGGACCCCCUGCGUCCCCACCCAGCAAUAGGGGUCUACCCUCUGCCGGGCCAGGAUUCUGCGCUGGCUUUCCUCAUCACUGGGGCGGAAGCUGGGCCUGAGGCGCUGGCGCGGACUCUGAAGUGGUGAUUCCCAUUGCUGACUUGGUCUUCCCUGAUGGCCAAGAAUGUAAAGAAUCCAUCUACAAUGCAGGAGGCCCAGGUUUGAUCUCUGGGUCAGGAAGAUCCUCUGGAGAAGGAAAUGGGAACCCACUCCAGUAUUCUCGUCUGGAGAAUUCCAUGGACAGAGGAGACUGGAUCUCAGUUCCUGACCAGAGAUUGAGCCAGGGCAAUGAAAGUCCAGAAUGUUAACUACUAGGCCACCAGCGGAUUCCUAUAUCAGCUUCAAUUAUGAAAUAAAAGGGUGCAUUGACUAGAAGGAAAGAAUGUCUAUGUGAAAAAUAAAGAUUAAAUGUCUCCUUUCCUAGGAUUCCAAUUCCAGUCCUCCUUCAAUGAUAAGACUCCCUUCCCAGGUGCCAAGGCCAUACUGACUCAUUGUGUAUGUGCUGAUCUAUUUCUUUUUUUUUUGAAACCUCGAAGGAAUGUAUCCCUGAUUUGUUUAAUGUUCUUUGUUCUGAUAAGAUAUAAAACUGUGCUGAAAACCAGGAUUCUCUGGAGCAGCUUCUCAGAGUUAUCUAAGAGGCUGUCUUCUGGGAUAUAUUCUUCAGUUUGGCUCAAAUAAAAUCCUUUUCUCUUCCUA